rnacentral:rRNA from 1 species
AUUGAACGCUGGCGGCAGGCCUAACACAUGCAAGUCGAGCGAGCGGCGGACGGGUGAGUAAUGUCUGGGGAACUGCCAGAUAGAGGGGGAUAACUACUGGAAACGGUAGCUAAUACCGCAUACUAUCGGAUGUGCCCAUAUGGGAUUAGCUAGUAGGUGGGGUAAAGGCUCACCUAGGGGACGAUCCCUAGCUGGUCUGAGAGGAUGACCAGCCACACGGGAACUGAGACACGGCCCAGACUCCUACGGGAGGCAGCAGUGGGGAAUAUUGCACAAUGGGCGCAAGCCUGAUGCAGCCAUGCCGCGUGUAUGAAGAAGGCCUUAGGGUUGUAAAGCACUUUCAGCGGGGAGGCGUUACCCGCAGAAGAAGCACCGGCUAACUCCGUGCCAGCCGCCGCGGUAAUAC